rnacentral:rRNA from 1 species
GUCCAAGCCGUAAACUAUGAGCACUAGGUGUUGGGGGUAACUUCAGCGCCGUAAGAUAACUCGUUAAGUGCUCCACCUGGGGACUACGGCCGCAAGGCUAAAACUCAAAGGAAUUGACGGGGGCCCGCACAAGCGGUGGAACAUGUGGUUCAAUUCGACGCUACGCGAAGAACCUCACCAAGGCUUGACAUGUAGGAAGUAGUGAACCGAAAGGGGAACGACCUGUCAAAUCAGGAGCCUGCACAGGUGUUGCAUGGCUGUCGU